UACAGAGGUGGCAAGCGUUGCUCGGAAUUACUGGGCGUAAAGCGCACGUAGGCGGCUUUCUAAGUCGGGGGUGAAAUCCUGGAGCUCAACUCCAGAACUGCCUUCGAUACUGGAAAGCUCGAGUCCGGGAGAGGUGAGUGGAACUGCGAGUGUAGAGGUGAAAUUCGUAGAUAUUCGCAAGAACACCAGUGGCGAAGGCGGCUCACUGGCCCGAUACUGACGCUGAGGUGCGAAAGCGUGGGGAGCAAACAGG
rnacentral:rRNA from 1 species